GGGGAAUUUUCCGCAAUGGGCGAAAGCCUGACGGAGCAAUACCGCGUGUGGGAGGAAGGCUCUUGGGUUGUAAACCUCUUUUCUCAGGGAAGAAAAAAAUGACGGUACCUGAGGAAUAAGCAUCGGCUAACUCCGUGCCAGCAGCCGCGGUAAUACGGAGGAUGCAAGCGUUAUCCGGAAUUAUUGGGCGUAAAGCGUCCGCAGGUGGCAGUUCAAGUCUGCUGUCAAAGGUCAGGGCUCAACCCUGAACAGGCAGUGGAAACUGAACAGCUAGAGUGCGGUAGGGGCAGAGGGAAUUCCCAGUGUAGCGGUGAAAUGCGUAGAGAUUGGGAAGAACACCGGUGGCGAAAGCGCUCUGCUAGGCCUGCACUGACACUCAGGGACGAAAGCUAGGGGAGCGAAUGGGAUUAGAUACCCCUG
rnacentral:rRNA from 1 species